rnacentral:lncRNA from 1 species
ACUAUCACAAAGCAAAAAAGAUCCUAUACUCUCUAUCACCCCUUCCUAUUGUUUUAUUAUAUGUAUACAGUUAGGAGUCUGUUGUUCUCAUUAUGUUCAAGCUUCAAAAUACCAAAGCAAUUGAACUAAUAGAGGUGGAUUCGAACAUGGGAAAAGACUAGUUAUAUGAAUUGGAUAUGUUAGUGUCACAAUUGACUUUACUGGAGCUAAUUGAAAUCAAUUAUCAAACUACAAAAUACCAAGGCUUACUACUUCAGUCUUAAUUCAACCCAUAAUCCAUUCUAUGACUAUCAAUUCAACAAUACGUCCAUAUUCUUAUCCGUUCAUCUCCCACUUACUCUCUUUGUGGUUUAUAUAUAUUCAAUUAUUGAUCUAUAGCUUACCUAUUAUAUUCAGUUUUUCAAUUCAUUACACAGAAUUCAAUAUCUCGGCUUACGACUCUCUCAGUCUCGCACUCUAGACUAACUUCUCAAUAUUCAAAAACUAUCUAUUAUUCAUCAACAACAAAGAAACAAAAAGAGGUAGCACCAAGCUUGCCCCGGCUUACGACUAUUACAGUCUGGCUUCUCGGCUUAUGACUCUCAUAGUCUAGCUCCGAUCUCUCUUUUUUCAACUUCUUUAUCCUACCAAAAGAUGGAUCGUCGGCUAGCAGAUUCCAAAGGUUAUGACCUUUUGAAUUUUUAACCAUUUAUUCCACUAACAACCUACUGUUACCAACAAAACUACCUAACAAUCAAUCUAAUUUUCAAGGUUAUCAAUAACCAACCAGUAACUUACUACAAAGUUUAUUUAUCUAUUCUACAUAAUCCCACUCCUAAUUGUGCAGUGCCCUCGUAAACAUACAAUUGUUACCUAUCUAAAUACUACUUAACAAAAUUCUACAAAGGUACUAUUUUCUCUGGCCCACCCAAUUGAUCAUUUGCUGCAUUAUCGAAUGUGUGUUCCAUCGAAUCUCGUUCCAAUUGCAAAUCUUCUUCCUCCUCCUCCAAUCUGUCUAUUGACUCCUUCCUCAAUUGGUUUGAAAAAUCUUCAUUAUACUCUCCCAAUUCACGGACUUGAGCUUCCAGUUUCAAGAUCUAGACAUCCCAAAGUUUCAAUUGUUGUUGCUGUUGACUCAUCCAUUCUAGAACAUCUUCAAUCGACACUUAUGACCGGCUUCUCACUGUUAACUCAUAAUUGGAACUACAAUUCUCAAAAACACAAGAAAUAUAAGAAAAUGGCACUCUAGUCAAUGCAAAACAGUACCACAGAAUGACUUUAACUAGUGCUCCACUCCUAUUCUUUUACUACUUGGUGAUAAUGACAACAUGUUACCCAUACUGUCUGUGAAAGGUAAUGGGAAGUAAUCUUUCUUAGUGGCCGCAUUAAGUUUGUAGAAAUCUUGACAAAUUCGGAUUUUCUCAUUCUUUUUCAGCACCAUCACAAUUAGAGAAACCCACUCACUAUUCGAUACCAGGUAAAUAAAACCAACUGCAAGAAGCUUGUCCAAUUCCUCCUUCACUAUGAGAGAAUAUUUAAGAUUAAGGCAAUGUUGCUUAUGCCGUACCAGUUUAGCAUUCUUCUCUAAAAUAAUAUGAUGCUCACAGACUUCAGAGGGGAUACCUUUUAGAUCAACAUAAGUCUAAGCAAAAGCUGAUUUAUGAUGCAAGAAAAUUUUUGUCCAGUAGGUCAACUCCUAGUCCUUAAUACCUUCGUAGACCUUAAUGGUCUGAGGCUCUACUGUGGUUGCCAAGUUGAUAGUUUGACAUAAAGGUAGAGCGGCGAUGUUCGGUUUCAACUCCCGUGUUGGUUUAAAAUCAGUCGAUAAGUUCGACAUGUGUGAAGUACUAAAUCCUAUGUCUAGGGCACUCACAUGGUGAACAUCAUACUUGGUCAUCCAAUCAAUACUAACUUUAACAGAGAUUUUCGAAUCCGUCGGAUAUAUCAAGUACUCUCCCGGACUGCCACAUUGAUACACCACUCCAAAGUGUUGGUCUGCUUCUAUGAAUGCCUCCAUAAUCGAUGCUAUUGCAUCAUCAUCGAUACUAAGCUGAUCAUUCGAUGGCAAUUCAAUUGCUGACAAUUGAGAUUCCUUGUGAUAGUGUAUUGGAUACAUUUGUAACACCAUUUUAUCUCCACCCUUGCCGAUUGUCAAAGUACCCCGACCCCAAUCAUUCUUGGUGUUUGCUUGAUAAAGCCAGGGUCGUUCCAAUAAAAUUAGAUAUGAUAAAGUCGAACAUGUAAUCAAAAGACAAUGUAGUCAAUUUCAUAUACAAUAUCGACAAUUAUAGUUUAAACACUCCGUAAAAUACCCAUUGGUUUAACUCGAUUAUUAUCUGCCAUCUGUAAUACCAAUAUUGUGGGUACUAAGUGUUCCAAAUCUAAAGCAUCCAUUGUAUCAGCAUUCAUUAAAUGGACAUUGGAACCACCAUCCACCUGAACACCUGAGAUCAUAAUACCGUCAAUCAAAACAUCGAUGGUUGGUGCACUUGGAUUAGGGUUCAAAUUGACUUCACAAACUUUCUUAUUGCAUUGCCUAUGCCAUGUUAACGAUGAAUUCAAUGUAGAAUGGUACUCUGGUACGACCGCUAGAAGUUGCUUCAUAGAAAUAGAAGGCGGAAUAGCAUCCAGAUCCUUCAAAAUGUCAUAAGGUUCCAUAUGUAAGAUAAUAUCCAAUGUCCUCUUUCUUUUUAUUGGUUUGAAUUUAACUUUGUGAGGUAAGAUAUUCUUUCGUCCUAGACUCAAAAUUGGAACAGUAGAUGGAGCUUCUUUGAAAUUUACGCCCUCGAGAGGAUCUUUCAAUAGAUAGGACGUUUUUCGAAAUUGUGUAGAGAACGAAACAGCUUGACACGGAACCGAAGCCUCCAUAAUUGAUACUUCAUUAAGAUGCACAAUCGAUUCAGGUCUUAUACUGAGUAAGGAGCUCAUGUCAAGACCUAGAUUGGAUGGCCCCAUAAUUGGAUCCAAUUCGUCCUUCGCUUCAAGAUCACCCAAAUUUUGAAUUGGUCCUUUUUCCUUUUGCUGACUUCUUAUAAGGAUAACUUGGAUUACUUCUAUCCGAUGAACUGGUGAUUCUUGUGUUCCGUUAUUUUUUUCCUCUACAAUUUAUACAGUCGAUUGUAUCUUCUGAUCAUGAUUAUUAGGAUUAAAUGGAACAAUGCAUUGAUAAUAAAAAUGACCCGAUUGCUUGUAAUUUCUACAUAGUGGAGCAUAUUUGUCUAUAAACUUUGGAUUAGGGCAUUCACUAGCAUAAUGACCAAUUUGCCGACACUAGUAGCAACGUAGUGGUUUUUACCCUAUACCGUCAUGUACACUUGGAGUCUCCAUUGGAAUAUAUCUAUUAGGCCAAUUCCAGGUAGCUAUAGUAAAUGAUCUUGGUUGACCAAUUACUACUAGUCGAGAAUUGGACUGCUGAAUUGGUAUAGUUUGAGAAUUACCUUCUUGAUUAUUUCCACCGUUCUACAUCUUUGUUUCAUAAACCAAAUUAUAAUUAGUAUUUUAAAAAUUUCCAAAGCCAUGAUUAGGUCAAUUUGAGUGAUUACUAUUCCAACCACUCAUAUUUUCAGUCUGUACUUGAUUAACAUUCCAUUGAGUUGUCUGUAUUAUUUGGUUAUUGAACUAUUGUUGCCUUUGUAAAUGCUAGCAGUUUUGAGUAAGGUGCUUUCCUCCACAAAAUGUAUAUUGAACACCCGUUUAUCUGGGUGAUGGACAUUCCAUAUCGAAAUGACCUUGUUCCUUACAAUUAUUACACCAUACAUUAGGUCUCGUAUUAGAAGGCUUAUGUCGUUUCUCCUUGUCUUUAGCCAAAUUCACGACCAAUUCUUCCAUCUUCUUUGUUAAAUUUAAUAACAAGGCUUCAUUUGGAUCUUUAACAGUCGCAUUUGUGAGCAACUCUGGUUGUUGAUAGGUUGGCAAUGUAAAAUAAGAUAUCAUUGUUAUUGGCGCUAUUACUUGGAGUGGUGUAGCAUUAAUUGAUUUUUGUAACAUAACAUUCUUCAUGUUGGAGUCAACCAUUUGUGGAUAAUUAUCCAUCAACACAUUUUCCGAUUAUAUUUGUUGGCUUCCUGAACUUGGAAUCAUUGUGGGCUCCACUCUUAACAAUUGGUCAUAAUGACAUUCUUUCCACACCUUUGCUCGUGCCAACGAUGCCUCUACCGUAGCAGGUUGAGCCUCUUUUACAAACAUUUUCAAUUCUGGUGGAUACAAACCAUUGAUUAAUAUGGACAAUAUAAACGCCUUUGGCAUUUGAUUAUUUGACCAUUUACGAAGUAUAUCUGCGAUCCAACCAUAAUAGGACUCUAUUGAUUCUCCCGCAAACAUCUUGCUAUUCAUAAAACUUUCUCGAAGUCGAUCUUCAAAUCCAAUUGGUCUAAAAUGUAUUAAAGAGGCAUUCUUCAAGGCGUCCCAAUUGGAAAAUCUAUCCACUGGUUGUCAAUUAUACCAUUCAAAAGUUGUAUCUUUUAAAGUUGCUAGCAACCAUCUCAACCAAAUAUCUUCAGUUCUACCAUUAUUAGCUACACAGGCUGUCAAAAAUUGAGAUACAUGGUAUUCGAGAUCAAAGCCCGACCAACCACUAAAAGUAGGUAAUGGUGCCACACUUGUAGUUCGGUCUCCUACUGCUCCCAUUUAUACUGCAAUUGGUACUUUUGGCACUCUCGCAGCCAUUGGUGUUAUCACUGGUCUCCUUGCUAUUUAAAUUUGAAUUUUUCUUCCUUUGGUUUUACUUGGACCUACAAUUCUUUUUUUUCGUUCCCGUAGGAGAUUUCUUAUGCGUAAUCACUCUUGUCUUUCUUUUGCUUGUCGAUUAAUUCUUUGAUAAUCCUCUCCUUCAUGAUUAUCAUUCAUAAUCUUCUAUCUUCUUUACAAAAUCAAUAUUACCUUGAAUUAUAAUUGACAUAUUUGUAACCCUAAAAUUAGUUCUUCUCACGUUUUCAUUCAACAUAUAAUUCCAUCUCCCAUACAAUCAAUUUCUAACAUUUCAUAUUGUUAUCAUUUUCCUGGCAGCGGUGCCAAAAUGUUGUUCUCGAUGUGUUCAAGCUUCAAUAUACCAAAGCAAUUGAACUAAUAGAGGUGGAUUCAAAUACAGGGAAAGACUGGUUAUAUGAAUUGGGUCUGUUAGUGUCACAAUUGACUAUACUCGAGCUAUCCGAAAUCAAUUAUCAAACUACAAAAUACCAAGGCUUCCUACUUUCGUCUUCAUUCAACCCAUAAUUUAUUCUACGACUAUCAAUUCAAUAAUACGUCCAUAUUCUUAUCCGUUCAUCUCCUAAUUACUCUCUUUGUGGUUUAUAUAUAUUCAAUUACUGAUCUCCAGCUUACCUAUUGUAUUCAGUUUCUCAAUUCAUUACACAGAAUUCAAUAUCUCGGCUUACGACUCUCACAGUCUGACCUUGAUCUCCCUUUUGUCAACUUCUUUAUC